rnacentral:rRNA from 1 species
AAUCAACGCUGGCGGCGUGCCUCAGACAUGCAAGUCGAACGAUUAAGACUUCCUUCGGGAAGUGUAUAAAGUGGCGCACGGGUGAGUAACACGUGGGUAACCUGCCUCUAAGAUUGGGAUAACUCGUCGAAAGAUGAGCUAAUACCGGAUAAGACCACAGUUCCCGCGGGAACAGGGGUCAAAGGUAGCCUCUGCUUGCAAGCUAUCACUUAGAGAUUGGCCUGCGCACCAUUAGCUAGUUGGUAGGGUAACGGCCUACCAAGGCAAAGAUGGUUAGCUGGUCUGAGAGGAUGAUCAGCCACACUGGAACUGAGACACGGUCCAGACUCCUACGGGAGGCAGCAGUGGGGAAUAUUGCGCAAUGGGCGAAAGCUUGACGCAGCAACGCCGCGUGAGUGAUGAAGGCCUUCGGGUCGUAAAGCUCUGUCGGGAGGAACGAAUGCUCCCAAGGUUAACAGCCUCGGGAGGUGACGGUACCUUCAAAGGAAGCACCGGCUAACUCUGUGCCAGCCGCCGCGGUAAAAC